rnacentral:rRNA from 1 species
UACGUAGGGGGCAAGCGUUGUCCGGAUUUAUUGGGCGUAAAGAGCGUGUAGGCGGCCAGAUAGGUCAGCUGUGAAAACUCGAGGCUUAACCUUGAGAUGUCAUCGGAAACCAUUUGGCUAGAGUCCGGAAGAGGAAAGUGGAAUUCCUGGUGUAGCGGUGAAAUGCGCAGAUAUCAGGAAGAACACCAAUGGCGAAAGCAGCUUUCUGGGACGGUACUGACGCUGAGACGCGAAAGCGUGGGGAGCGAACAGG